CAACCGCCGUUCAAACAUUAUUUCUCCAACCGCCGUUCAAAAAAACAAAAUAAAAAAGGUCCCCAACCAUAUAUUUCCACCAUGUGAAACCAUCAAACCCUAACUCUUCACCAUCACAAUCCAGUUUCUCCUUUAAGCCCUAAUUUUUCUCUCCAUCACAAUCAGAUCAUCAUCGAGAGGAGAGUUAGGGCAAUUGAAAGAGAGAUGACGAUUGUAUACACGCUGGUGGCUAGAGGAUCGGUGGUGUUGGCGGAAUUCAGCGGCGUGCAGACGAAUGCGAGCGCGAUUGCCAGACAAAUACUCGAGAAAAUGGCCGGAGAUAGUGAUAUGAAUGUUUCGUACUCGCAGGAUCGGUAUAUUUUUCAUGUUAAGCGGAAUGAUGGACUCACGGUUCUCUGUAUGGCUGCUGAUGUGUCUGGAAGAAGGAUUCCUUUUGCUUUUCUUGAAGACAUACAUCAAAGAUUUGUGAGGACUUACGGCCGAGCAGUAUUAUCCGCUCCAGCUUAUGGCAUGAACGAUGAAUUUUCAAGGGUUUUGAGCCAACAAAUGGAGUAUUACUCAAAUGACCCUAAUGCAGAUAAAAUUAACCGUUUAAAAGGCGUAAUGAGCCAGGUGCGCACGGUUAUGAUACAGAAUAUUGACGAAGUUUUAGAAAGGGGUGACCGUUUGGAGAUACUUGUCGAUAAAACUGCCACUAUGCAUAAUAAAACACUUCGGUUUAAAAAACAGUCUCGACGAUACAGGAAUGCAAUUUGGUGGAGAAAUGUCAAGCUUAUGUUUGCUUUGAUAUUUCUUUUGCUGGUGCUAGUGUAUGUCGUUGUAGCAUUUGCUUGCAACGGGCUGACCCUUCAUUCUUGUCUAGCGUAACUAGUGGAGAAAUUUAUUGCUUUUCAGGAAAAAGAAACCGAAAACGGGAGAAGUUUUGCUGAAUAGGCCGCGUGUGUCAAUAUUUGUAGCUUCAGUUUUAGGUUCAAAACCAUCUUGCCGCGGUCGCUUCUUGUGAGGUCAAGCCAGUUACCCCUUUUGAGAUUGGAACACGAAUAGUGGGUAUAUGAACGAAUACAAUGGAGAAAGGAGCAACGCUUAUCGGGCUCGAGAAGUUUUUUUGGAUCGGUUCUAACGAAGGUAUAACACCCGAAGAAUUUACAAGUAAUUCGACUCCGUUUAGUAAUACUAUUUGGCUAUGCAAGUCCCCGUCUUUUGCGGUUAGGUGAUAUUCGUCUCUUUGUGCCUCGUCAAUUCUAGGAUUCCUAAGCAUCUUGGAAAAUUUUGUUCGUUGUUUUUGUGUCGCGUUUUGUUGGGUUGAUGUGAUUACUGUCGUCGUGUUUUCAAUAAAAACGCCAAUAUUUGUUGUUUUAAACCCGUCUAGGUUGAUUACUAGCAACGUGAUCCCUGCCUGUAAAGUUGAGACGAUUUUAAAAGUUAGUUAUAUGAACAAAAUAUAAAGUUUUGGCUU